rnacentral:misc_RNA from 1 species
GUUUGGGCCGGGCUACAGUGUCUUGUCAGCUGUUCAUAUGUACUGUAGUAUACCUGACUGUCCCUUUUUUAAAUUAACGAUUUAAUCAUUUAAAGCGCUGAUGCAGGAGGAGAAGGAUUUUGCAGACUUCACAAACGGCCCUUUGUUAGGACGUUUCGACGCUGUUGGUUUCUCUGACUACACGAGGUAUUACGAGAAAAGUAAGCGAGAUAAAGAGGCACGUUUAUUGGCUGAAGAAGUACAAAGAAUGUCAUUUCGGAGAGAUGAACCACCAACCGUUUGCCAAAAACCUUUUCAGUGGCCGAAAGAAAAUAUUAAAAUACCAUUGCCAACUCAAGAAACCGCUACAUCAUCUACUUUGAAUCCAUCAAUGAAUUCAGAAUUUAGUUUUGCGAGGGGCAGAAGUAUUGCAGCCAUAAAAGAACAUUUUAAUUCACACCAAUCUAGGAAGCCUUCUGCAGAAUUGUUGAAACAAUUUACAACAAAUAGUAAUUCAUCUUCUCUUAGAGCAAAUUCUUUGCCACAUUCAAGAUUUAAUUUCAAUACUCCUGAUGAAUAUGCUGAUUAUCCCUCAAUGCUAAAUACCAAUCUGAAUUCUCAGUAUCAUGUUCAGCAGCCAAUAUCCAAGAACCAAGACCCAAAGAAAACAGUAGGACAAGAAAACAAGAAAACAAACAAUGACACGUCUGAAAACGUGGCUUCAAAGCCUAUGCCAAUGUCAUUUUUACCUGCUGGUAUGCUAACUUCAGCCAAACCAAUGGAACGUCUAAGGAACUACACUCGAAAGGAAGAAAAACUCAGAAGACCAGUUGCAGAGAGUAUCAAGCAGUGCGACAGAUCACAACCUGCUCAGGGUUUGCCAAAUUUCUUUUCAACAGAAAAAGUGAAUUUGAUCAGGGAGGUACCUUCAGAUAGUCAGAAAUCUCAGCCUAGCCCACCUGUUGCUGCUAGUGGUUCAGUUUUGAAUCGCCGGGCAUUACUCUUGAAGAGCGCUCUUGAACGAUCUAAAUCUAAAUGUUUGAAAAAAGAAGUGAUUGAAAAAAGCUGUUUUCCACACUUGCCGACCAUAUCUCCCUCAAACGAUAUCUCCCAACAGAUUCCGCCAAUUCAUGAAAACGACGACAUGACAGAAUUGUUGCAAUUGGCAUCGGCUUCUACUGAAAUCAAGUCAUCCUCUUCCUUUAUUAAAGAAAAUGUACCUAAUAUGCUAAAACUUUCUAAACUAGCAGAGUUAAUAGAAGAAGGUCGCGUGCUUGUUCGUUCUGAUGUUCCCCAUUCAUCAACGCAUAACUUCAAGGAUUUCCCUUUUGAUAUAAGGAUUCAUGAAGUGCUUAACUCCAUGUCUUUUGAGAAACCAAAGACCAUACAAGCCUAUGUGUGGGAAGCAAUCUUGCGUGGUCACAAUGUGGCUUUUGUCGCCGGAGCAAGAGGAGGAAAAACUUUAGGCUACCUGAUACCUAUACUGAAUAAUUUGAUGGACCUGAGUGAAUACAGCGAUGUGCCAAUCGGCUGUUCGCCUUUGGUUGUUGUCAUUUGCUCUUCAUGGGAAAAUGCCGAGUUGGUCCAAUUUUAUUGCUCUCGCAUUAUGAAGAAAAAUUCGGAUUUCCGUUCCGCUGUUUUUACUGAUGCUACCGAACGAUCACUGAAAGUGGCUCUGCCUUAUUUAAUCAAUGGAGUGACUUUGCUUGCCGCCACGGCACCUGCGCUCAAUUUGCUGUUAACAAAAGCUAAAGAUAUCAUUAGUUUUGAUAGAUGCUGUCACCUUGUGUUUGACGAUGCUGACGUCGUGCUUAAAGAACAUGGAGAAUCUACAAAAAAACUGUUUAAUUUUUAUCAAGAAUCUGUUCAACGGGCAACCAUGGGAAAUAACUUUAUUCCUCGACAGAUUGUGGCCUGUGCUAACCAUUGGACAAAAGGAAUGGAAGAAAUCUCUAGUAAAGUUUUGAAAAACCCCUCAAUUUUUAUAUCUUCGUGUAUGGAGGCUGCUAUUUAUGGAGGAAUGAAACUCGAUGUUCGCCGUGGAACCCCUGAAGAAAUGGACCGCGAUCUGUUGGAAAUUGUCCAAUCAAAACGAUUCAGUCGGACCAUUAUCUUUUGUCGUGGAUCUGCCGAAGUCUUCAAAGUUGAACAAAUGCUGUCAGAGAUUGGCGCGACACCCAUCUUAGCUCACAAUCAAUCUAUCGUGUCCGAUUUAGAUUUUACAACCGAAAGGUGGAACCAUGCUCAGCCUGGUUCUGCUAUUCUAAUGUGCACAGACGAUGUUUUAGAGCGAUUGAACAUAAAAAAUGCACAAACUCUAAUUCACUACUUUAUACCACACCAUUCCAAGUACGAUUUUAGUUACCGCCUGUCAUUCGCUAUGGAUAACUUCCACUUGAGAGCUUCGGAAGCUGAUAGACCAGAAACUCAUCUGCUUAUUACAAAAGAGUUUAAUAACUCUCUUCUGACGAUCGUACGUUUAAUGCAGCGCUUUGGGCACGUUGUUCCUGACGAGCUAGCAACUGAAGCUAUACUUUCUUUCUGCGGUAAAGAAGUUCGAAAAAGAAGUCUUCCUUUGUGUGAAACUCUCAAGGCAUUUGGAUUCUGUCGAAAUAUGAAGCUUUGUGGACUCCGUCACGUUAUUCUGUCAACUUUGGACCAACCUGUUGUUCCACAGAACGGCAUUGUUCGUAUUCGGAUUACAGCUGUCCGCACUGCAACACAAUACUACGCUCGGAUUUUGAAGCAUCGAAACGAAAAAAAUCAAGUGAUCGAUAUGAGUGGAUCGCAUUUUGAAGUCAGUGCUCAGUUACGAAAUCAUUUUCGUGAUGAGGCACAGCGAAAGAACUCAGUUGAUGGAAAUAAAGUUGAAAUUGGAAAUAUUUACGCUCAUCGAACCACUGACAACCUUUAUGAACGUGUUCGCGUUGAAUCUAUACUUGAAAGAGAUCACCAAGGAAUUCCGAUUGAAGUCACUGUAAUUUCUAUUGAUCAAGGUUGUGUAAUGUCAUCCUUCGUCAAAGAUCUGUAUGAAAUUCCAGACGAUUUAAAGAAUUUGGCUCCAGAAGCUAUUGAAGUUUUUCUAGUAGGAGCUAAGCCAUUUGAUCGUAACUCAAAUUGGAGCCGUUACUCAGUUGAUUUUGUUCGGGAAAAACUGAUGAGUAAAGAGUUGGAAGGCCGAAUUGUAUUGGCUUUGUCAUUCACUUUAUGGCUAGACCCAUUACAUGAGAGAAAGCGACUGGAUGGCGUGAAUUCCUCUGUUGUUGUGACGGACAUUCUUAAAGAUCUUUUGACAGCAGAGUUGGCAGACAACAACGAGGAGCAUUUGGUAAAGCUGUAUCACUUGUGCGAGACUGGAGGUAUUGAAUUACCGAAUUAUAGCUUUGGAUUGGCUAAAAAUAAAAGCGCAAAUCCUAUCGAACCGUCGUAUGCGUUCCUCCCAAUGAAUGAAGAAACGCAAGUUGAGUUAGUCACCACUGAUUCUCCACACCAGUUUUAUGUUACAAUCAAUAAAUUCCAGGAUACCUUGAGGUCUCUGGAAGCUGAUAUCAAGAAACAAAUAUCUAAAUGCAAAAAUGUGACAUAUGAAGAUGCGCAACUGGGAAGUUUUUGUCUCGUGGAAUCCCCUUCAGAACCUGGAUCGUGGUGCCGGUGCUGCAUAAAGAAGAAAAUAGUUGAAGAUGACGUGUGGAAAUUCCAAGUCUUGUUCGUAGACUAUGGAGAUCAUACAAAAGUUCCUCUAAAUGCAAUGAAAAGUUUACCUAAUCAGUUCAUCAGCCGUUUACCAUUUCAAGCUAUUGCUUGUUCAUUGUAUGGUGUUGGACCCAAGAAUGACAGCGGUGGAUGGACGGAAGAAGACAUUUGUUUUUUCACAUCACUCACGCGAGCCUCCGAUGGAUUUAUGCAUGUGUGGCAUGCCCAGACGAAGUUCAAGGAAGCAGUCAAGGAUGAAGUGACAAAUGGCUCGCACUAUCAUGUCACUCUCUUGAAUCGAGAAGAAAAAGAAAUACCCAGUCUAGCACAACAAAUGAUCUCGAAAAAUUACGCCAUUUCCCUGGAAAAUGAAGAAGACUUUCGUGCAAUCGUACGUAGUUCAGCUACGUUGAUGAAAGACAUUGAAGAGAAAGAAUUGAAGGAUAGAGCUUGUGAAUCACUGCAGCAGUUGGAAUAUGAAGAGGAAUUGAAAUUUGAUGUUUCACCUGGUUGGAUUGAACUGUUCCCAAAAUGCCCGGAGAAUAACGAGAUCCAAGCAAUUUCGACUUCCUGCUCCUCCAACACUGAUUCUUCAGGAACUAUUUCAACGUCGAAAAAGAUGCCUACAUUUCAGCAGACUGUUGGUCGGGAUCAUAAUUUAGCUCUUAUUGACCACACAUUACCUCUAAAAGAAAAUUCGAGUCGAUUUCCUACCACUAAAUGGGCACAAAGUGAACAGGAUGUCAUAAUUACGUUUUUCGUCGAUCACGUUAAAGAAUAUAGUCUUGAGCUUACGGAAAACCAUUUGAGCUUCGUGACUGAUGUAAAUGGUUUAAGAUAUGAAUUAAACACAAGCACAUAUGGUUAUAUCAUUCCGGAAAUAAGUUGCCAUUCCCUUGUUGGUUGCGGGGUUAAAGUAACGCUCCGUAAGCAAGAAAUAGGCGCAAUGUGGACCCGAUUUAUCCAUUCCCCAUUAAAUCAACCUUGGCUAACUCGCGACUUCAGUUAUUGGUUGGACAAUAAUGUUUCCGAUGAUGAAGAAAAAUUAGAGCCAAUUGUGGAUCCAAAAUACGCAUUCGACGAAAACCAAUCUGAAUCAUCAUCAAGCGGUUCAGAUGAAGAGUGUUGUGAUGAAAAGUGGCUAGGUGAAGAUGAUUGAGAACGACUGCUUGGAACGGUCAUACGACAAUCUAGUUUCGAAGAUACUCUAUAAUUUUGUUCGCUCCAUCUGAUAUUAGAGGUUUCCAAGGUCGUUUGUGAUUUGAUGCUGCGCCCUACGUUUUCCCUCGACUGUAUGGCUAGAUCAUCUUUCCUACUACAAUAAAAUCCAUUUUACUACAUA